rnacentral:rRNA from 1 species
AGUGAACGCUGGCGGCAGGCCUAAUACAUGCAAGUCGAACGGCAGCACAGCAGAGCUUGCUCUGUGGGUGGCGAGUGGCGGACGGGUGAGGAAUACAUGGGAAUCUGCCCAGUCGUGGGGGAUAACGUAUGGAAACGUACGCUAAUACCGCAUGCGCCCUACGGGGGAAAGCCGGGGACCGCAAGGCCUGGCGCGAUUGGAUGAGCCCAUGUUCGAUUAGCUAGUUGGCGGGGUAAAGGCCCACCAAGGCGACGAUCGAUAGCUGGUCUGAGAGGAUGAUCAGCCACACUGGAACUGAGACACGGUCCAGACUCCUACGGGAGGCAGCAGUAGGGAAUAUUGGACAAUGGGGGCAACCCUGAUCCGGCCAUGCCGCGUGAGUGAAGAAGGCCCUCGGGUUGUAAAGCUCUUUUGUCCGGAAAGAAAAGCAAUCGGUUAAUACCCGGUUGUUCUGACGGUACCGGAAGAAUAAGCACCGGCUAACUUCGUGCCAGC